UACGUAGGGGGGCAAGCGUUGUCCGGAAUCAUUGGGCGUAAAGCGCGUGUAGGCGGUUACGUAAGUCUGCUGUGAAAGUCGGAGGCUCAACCUUCGAAAGCCGGUGGAUACUGCGUGACUAGAGUACGGAAGAGGAGAGUGGAAUUCCUGGUGUAGCGGUGAAAUGCGUAGAUAUCUGGAGGAACACCGGUGGCGAAGGCGGCAUCCUGGACCGAUAUUGACGCUGAGGCGCGAAAGCCAGGGGAGCAAACGGG
rnacentral:rRNA from 1 species